UCACCCCUCAAGCCUUGUGCUUGGUGUUGGACGGCUUGGUUGCGCUCCGGCUCGACCCCUCCUAAAACAAAUGACGGCGGCCUGUGGUUCCCCCGGUACACUGAGCUUUUCACGGAGCACGUAUUGGAUAAGGGCGCCCGGGACACGGUCCUCUCCUUUCAGAAGGAAAUUUUAAAA
rnacentral:misc_RNA from 1 species